rnacentral:rRNA from 1 species
CCCUUAGAUGUUCUGGGCCGCACGCGUGCUACACUGAGUGGAUCAGCGGGUCAGGUUGCGCGAAAGUGUUUCCUAAUCUUGAAAUCCGCUCGUGAUGGGGAUUGACGGUUGCAAUUUUCCGUCAUGAACGAGGAAUACCUUGUAAGCGCGAGUCAUCAUCCCGCGCUGAAUACGUCCCUGCCCUUUGUACACACCGCCCGUCGCUCCUACCGAUUGAGUGGUCCGGUGAGGCUUUGGGAUCUGAGCAAAAAGAGCGUUUCGCUCGUUUGGCUCGGAAAACUCAGUCGAACCUUAUCAUUUAGAGGAAGGAGAAGUCGUAACA